GCAAGAGCUGACAGCGCGGAAAUCGAUAUUCAUUCUUCUCGUUAAUCGUCGACGCUGUGCCGCCGCGGCAAGUGAGAAAGUCGGGAGAGCCAGGUGGGACCGGAAGUGUUCCAAAAUGACUGCCGAAGCCUCGACAAAAUAGACAAAAAUGGAUCGAGAAGAGACUGCUAUUUCAUGUAGAAAACUUUUGGGAAAACUUUUACGAAGUUUUUGAAGCGAGAAAGAGCUUCGAGUCAGGAUGGACUCUCGACUCGAAUGCUAUUUUUUCCGAACGGAGCAACGGUCAUAAUGUUAUCGAAUGUGGUUACGCGCGCAACUUCUUCGUCAGCUAAUUUCAACUUGCCAAUUCAUCAGUGUUCACGAAUUGUUUUGAAUCUUAUUCCAAUUCGAUUUUUACGCAGCUGCACGCCUAAACAACGCUGUAAAAAAUUUACGAAUGAAAAUUUCGGGCGAGAGAAAACUCGAAGAAAGUUGUUUGUUUCAUUGUUUAAAUACUAUGAAGAGAACGAUCAAACAAAACGUUCACAAAAAUUAAGGACGUAGGAUUUUCAUCAUUUUUCAGAGUUGAACAAAAUGGUGGAAAUAUUUUGUCGAGAAUACGAUGCGAACGCGCGUCAUAUUUUUACGAAUUUGAAUAUUUCGAACAUUUUGACAUCUGCAUGUUCCAACUUACGUUCUUUUUUCUUUAUUAAAAAUAUCGUAUUUUAUUUUUCUUUUUCCUUGUCACUCGCGUUUUAAUUGUACAUUGCCCUCUGAUUCAAUUUAUUUUCGAUUUGCGACACGUCUUCACGGAGGUGCUAUUCUCGAUUCGCAAACAGAGUUGAACAAAAUGGUAGAAAUAUUUAAAUCAGGUAGAGUUGACAACAGGAUACGAAUACAUAUCAAAUUUUUACGAAUUUGAAUAUUUCAGACAUUUUGACAUUUGCAUGUUCCAACUUACGUUCUUUUUUCUUUAUUAAA